UACGUAGGGGGCAAGCGUUGUCCGGAAUUAUUGGGCGUAAAGAGCGUGUAGGCGGCCAGAUAAGUCCGCUGUGAAAUCUCGAGGCUCAACUUCGAGCUGUCGGUGGAAACUGUCUGGCUAGAGUCCGGAAGAGGAGAAUGGAAUUCCUGGUGUAGCGGUGAAAUGCGCAGAUAUCAGGAAGAACACCCGUGGCGAAGGCGGUUCUCUGGGACGGUACUGACGCUGGAGACGACGAAAGCCGUGGGGAGCGAACAGG
rnacentral:rRNA from 1 species